rnacentral:rRNA from 1 species
AUUGAACGCUGGCGGCAUGCCUUACACAUGCAAGUCGAACGGCAGCACGGGUGCUUGCACCUGGUGGCGAGUGGCGAACGGGUGAGUAAUACAUCGGAACGUACCUUAUCGUGGGGGAUAACGCAGCGAAAGCUGUGCUAAUACCGCAUACGCCCUGAGGGGGAAAGCGGGGGAUCGCAAGACCUCGCGCGACUAGAGCGGCCGAUGCCUGAUUAGCUUGUUGGUGGGGUAAAAGCCGACCAAGGCGACGAUCAGUAGCUGGUCUGAGAGGACGAUCAGCCACACUGGGACUCAGACACGGCCCAGACUCCUACGGGAGGCAGCAGUGGGGAAUUUUGGACAAUGGGGGCAACCCUGAUCCAGCAAUGCCGCGUGAGUGAAGAAGGCCUUCGGGUUGUAAAGCUCUUUUGUCAGGGAAGAAACACCGGCUCUAACACAGUCCGGGAAUGACGGUACCUGAAGAAUAAGCACCGGCUAACUACGUGCCAGCCGCCGCGGUAA